UGGGUGAGAAACGUUUGCUACAGUCUACCGGGUGGGCGGGUAGACUGAUAUAUCCGUCACACAUCUAGGUGGACAUGACACUUGUGAUGUCCGGAAGAGGCAGAUUUUCAAAAGGGCUUGUAGCGGCUAAUCACACUCACACCUGGUGGUGUAAUAUGUAAUCUUUAAGAGGCGUCCUCACAGCUGCCCAAACCGGACAACGUGACGGUGGUCUCCUUCAACAUGGGGGCCGUCCUCACCUGGGACAUCCCAGAAUACUCCACCAGCAAUCUCACCUACACAGCCCAGAUGAGGGUCCUGGAUGAAUUCCAGACCGUGUGUAACCACACAGGGGACCGGCACUGUGACAUGGGGCCCGUCCCCAGCUGUCUGGGGGUCUUCCUCCUGAGGGUCCGGGCGGAGGCCGGGACCAUGAAGUCCUGCUGGGUGAAGGUCCUCCACAAACCCUCGGAGGACAGUGAGUCCCCCCCCCCCCCCCCACCCGUGUUUAGAAACUGUGGACCGCACACACACACACACACACACAUACGACUACUGAUAAUGACAAGCAUACACACACAUUGCACCCACACAUUGCACUCACACACACACGCUAACACACACGCAAGCUUGAUCAACACAAAGAGAUGUUGGGGUCAAGGAACAAUCUUUUGUCCUCAGUUUUUUAAAUUGUCGGCCAAUUAAGCCUAAACCAAUCAAUGAAGUCCCUCCCUCUAUCCCCUCCUUCCUUUCCUCCUUUGCUGCUUCCCUUCUCCUUCCCGCCCUUCUCCCCCAUCCCCCCCACCCUAGCCGUCAUCGGGGCCCCCACCUUGCAGGUGGAGUUCAAAGCCGAAGAGGUGGAGGUGGUGAUGGCGGACCCCGUGCUCAGGGUGCUCCGCCCGCUGACAGACUGCUACAGCAAGGUCUCCUACGUGCUGCAGUACUGGAGGAAGGACCGGCCUGACCACGUGCUGGAGAAGAAGGGUGUGGCAGACAAGAGGGUGCGACUGAGGCUGAACGACCCUGGGAACAGCUACUGCAUUCAGGCUCGUGUGGACCCCUAUGGGCGAGAGGGCCUCUUCAGCGAGCCAGUAUGUGAUCAAUCAGGUGAUAACAAGCUGCCGGGACGUUUGGUGGUCGGUUUGGCGCUGGCGUCAUUGGCCCUCCCUCUCUCACUGCUGGUUGGUUGGUUGACCUACAAAGCAAACAGAUUCCUGAAUCCUAAGACUGCUCUUCCUUCCCUGCUCCAGAAGCAUCUGUCCCAGGCCAACGCUACCACUAUCGACUCAACCAACCAGCGGGCCCCAGCUCUGACCCAGGAGCAGUCGGAGAAGAUCAGCUUGUUCUACGAGGAGCACAGCAUCUGUGAGGUGGUCCUCAAACAAGACCAAGGCUGUGAUGACAACGGGAGUAAAGGAGAGGGUGAAGGGCUGAAGAGCUACUGCAACUUCCUGGAACUGAAUCACUGGUCCUAUAGUAACCUUUAA
rnacentral:lncRNA from 1 species